rnacentral:rRNA from 1 species
UACAGAGGUGGCAAGCGUUGUUCGGAAUUACUGGGCGUAAAGGGCGCGUAGGCGGCCAGCACAAGUCGGUUGUGAAAUCCCCGGGCUCAACCCGGGAACUGCGUCCGAUACUGGAAGGCUUGAAUCCGGGAGAGGGAUGCGGAAUUCCAGGUGUAGCGGUGAAAUGCGUAGAUAUCUGGAGGAACACCGGUGGCGAAGGCGGCAUCCUGGACCGGCAUUGACGCUGAGGCGCGAAAGCCAGGGGAGCAAACGGG